rnacentral:lncRNA from 1 species
GUCCGCUGGUGCACGUGUUUAUGAAGAUGUCUCACAAUAUAAAGAGAUUUCAGUUCUUUGUGCCACCCACAUCCUUGAGUAUGUCUCCUGAGACACACGUGGGAGUCUGUCUGGGGUAUAAAUGAGGAUGGACGUUGCCCGAAAUGCAUAUGGGCUUUUGACUUCACCCGGUUGCUUUCGGGACUAUUGUGCACAUUCAGUUCCUGGUGCAGCGUCCGUUCGUUUCUUUUAGUCAUUUCACAGCUGUUUGCUGGGAGGAGCAAGACUGAACUACUUGGGGCUGAUUUCACAAGGAAGCUGAAAACAAGGCCUUCCCAGUUCCCGUUUGUGAUUUUCAAGUCAAUAAAGCAUGUCUGUCUUGGUGGAUGUUUCUCUCUAA